rnacentral:rRNA from 1 species
AUUGAACGCUGGCGGCAUGCUUUACACAUGCAAGUCGAACGAGGGGCGAAGGGGUGAGUACUAUAUCUGAACGUACCGAGUAAUGGGGGAUAACCAAUCGAAAGAUUGGCUAAUACCGCAUAUUAUUCGAGCGGCCGAUAACUGAUUAGCUAUUGGGGGGGGUAAAGGCCUACCAAGGCCACGACCAGUAGCGGGUCUGAGAGGAGGAGCGGCCACACGGGAACUGAGACACGGCCCAGACUCCUACGGGAGGCAGCAGUGGGGAAUUUUGGACAAUGGGGGCAACCCUGAUCCAGCCAUGCCGCGUGUAUGAAGAAGGCCUUCGGGUUGUAAAGUACUUUUGUUAGGGAAGCGGUACCUAAAGAAUAAGCACCGGCUAACUCCGUGCCAGCAGCCGCGGUAAUUC